GUACAUGCCUAUACAUAACACUAAUGCAUUGGAUCCCAUCAGAACUCUGUAGUUAAGCAUGCUCAGGCUAAAGUAGUACUAGGAUGGGUGAUCGUUUGGGAAGUCCUAGUGUUUUACAUG
rfam:Picea glauca, whole genome shotgun sequence.